UUUGGGAAAUUAAAAAAGAAAGAGUAUAGAACAUUCUCUUUAGAACGUGACAAUUUUUUAUUUGAACCAGAAGGCUUCUUGAUACAUCUGCCUAUAUCCAUUAACAUGGAUGCCAAAGAAUCUCAGCUGGUGGCCAUAGGUAAUUGCAGAGUCCCUUGCAGAGUCGUCUGGAAGAAAUAAUGCAGAGAGAUCCUGUGCACCCCACACCCUGCGUGACCCAGCUGUGGCAUCUUGCAAAGCUAUAGUACAAUAUCACGACCUGGAAAGGCACAUCGAUACAGCCUGCCAGUUUCUCCAGCUUCACCGUGGUUCUACGCGUCCCCAUUUGUGGAGUUCUUGAAUGUGUGGAAAUCUGUGUGCACGCUCUGCCUCAGCUUUGGAGAACCCACAGCUCUACGUGAGGACUCCCUGGCCCGAGCACAGUGUGCUUCUCCCGAAUCGCUGCUGUGUCCUUGCAGCCCUGGGAAAGAAGGCAGCGUCUGGGAUCCAAGACACUCAGCAAAGGCGGGCUCUGCGGAUGGCAGCCGCUCUGGAACUUCUGCUGGAGCAAUCUUUUCAAAUCUUCAGUACUUCAGCUGAAUUAGAUGCAAAAACUAACGGGAAGUUAGCCACUGUUUGUAAAUAUUUUAUGAAAAUAGUUUGAAAAAUUACAUCCUUUAAACAAUGUCUCUAUAACUAUUUUAAUUCAGUUCCCACCGAAAACCCCUUUUAAUAGGGUUUUCCCUACAGAAGUCCUGUUUUGAAAGAUUUUGUAUAUAAGCAAAUGCAUUUGUUUAACAAUUAUGAAUUCCUCUUCCCCAGAGGAAACCAAAGAGUCAAGAUUUUUUUUUUUCCUAACCAGAAGUCAUCCUUGAGGUUUUAUUUUGCAUCAACAAUCACUUUAAGCUUCCUGAAAAACUGAAACUAGCUGGGAGAAUUCUCCCCGGGGCCCCUCCAGUGCUGGCUGCUCCGUUCCCCAACCGCUGGGCGUCCAGGGGUGACGCUAGCGUUCCGGAGGGCUCCGGGCAGAUGCACAACAUUCACAAAAGCCUGACUUCUCCUCGGCGGCCGCUAUGGCAGUUCCUCCUGCCUUAAGUUCUCCCUGUCUAGCAGCUCUCCUGAGUGAUGCGAUUUCUGUCUGCCAAGCAAGCGGAGGCCAGACUUUAGCCCAAGCUUUCCUUUUUUAUUUUUCAGAUUUUAUUUAUUUAUUCUUAGAGAGAGGGGAAGGGAGAGAAAAAUAUUGACGUGUGAGACAAACAUCCAUUGGCUGCCUCUCACACACCCCAAGUGGGGACCUGGCCCACAAUGCAGGCAUGUGCCCUGACUGGGGAUUGAACCAGAGACCUUUAGGUUCGCAGGCCAGCGCUCAGUCCACUAAGCCACACCAGCCAGAGUAGCUCCAGCUUUAGGUAACGGGACAUCCCAUGAGAAAUGGUCAAGGAGCAAGCUGGCAUGCUCAGGCCUCUCACCUAAGGAGCUGUCCCGUUGCGAUGCAGAAUAUGUCACCUUUCUUCCUAGAGGACACUCUCCACAUGGUCCUGCUUGACUUGUGGUAUGAAGUUGUUACUUUAGGACAGGGGAAAAUUCGCAGGCAAGAGUCUUAUACGGCAGUGAUGCUAUUUUCUAAAAGAAAAAAAUGAGAGAAUUUUUAUUACCUUCAUACAUUGCCACAGCACUCUGGGGGGAAAGAUUAGAAUACAUAGGAACUUGGU